AUUCCCCAAGAUGCUCUCUUCUCUUCCUAUUUCAUAUUUUUCCUAAGUGGGAAACCUCACCCAGCAAUAAAGUUUUCUAUGUAAACCACCAUAUCUUAUGCAAAUAGGGAUUUUUAUUUCUUACUUUCUGAUCUUUAUGCCUAUUUUUCCAUGCCUUGUUUCACUGUCCAGGAUCUGCAGUACAGUGUUGAAUAGAACUGGCUAUUCAUGCUCUUAUGGAAAAUGCUGUGCAACCCUUACUCACUUCUGUGGGAGAUGCUAUAGAGGCCAUAAUCAUCACCAUGCAUCAAGAAGACUUUUCUGGGUCAUUAUCCAGCUCAGGAAAACCUGAUGUUCCUUGUUCUCUGUACAUGAAGGAGCUACAAGGUUUCAUUGCCAGAGUUAUGAGUGACUAUUUUAAACACUUUGAAUGCUUGGAUUUUGUCUUUGACAACACUGAGGCUAUUGCCCAAAGAGCUGUUGAACUUUUUAUCCGCCAUGCCAGUCUCAUAAGACCUCUUGGUGAAGGUGGGAAAAUGCGACUUGCUGCUGAUUUUGCACAGAUGGAGUUGGCUGUGGGUCCAUUCUGUAGACGAGUAUCUGAUUUAGGAAAGUCCUAUCGGAUGCUGAGAUCGUUCAGGCCUCUGCUCUUCCAGGCAAGUGAACAUGUAGCCAAUAGUCCUGCAUUGGGGGAUGUGAUUCCGUUCAGCAUCAUUAUUCAGUUUUUGUUCACGAGAGCACCCGCUGAACUGAAAUCUCCUUUCCAGAGGGCAGAGUGGUCCCACACACGCUUCUCUCAGUGGCUGGAUGACCAUCCAUCUGAAAAGGACAGGCUCCUCCUCAUCAGGUAAAGCCAGGUGCUCUGGGGGCACCCAUCUGGUCUGGAAGCCCAAGGAGGGUGGGGAUGCAAGAGAGGAU
rnacentral:sRNA from 1 species